AGAGUUUGAUCCUGGCUCAGGAUGAACGCUGGCGGCGUGCUUAAUACAUGCAAGUCGAACGAAGAUAAUAGCAAUAUUGUCUUAGUGGCGAACGGGUGAGUAACGCGUUGGUGACCUGCCCCGAAGAGAGGGAUAACAGUUCGAAAGGACUGCUAAUACCUCAUGUGGUCAAAGAGGUUAGAGUCUCUUUGUCUAAAGGGAGUAAUUCGCUUCGGGAGGGGCCUGCGUCCCAUCAGCUAGUUGGUAAGGUAAUGGCCUACCAAGGCGAUGACGGGUAGGGGACCUGAGAGGGUGGCCCCCCACAAUGGAACUGAAACACGGUCCAUACACCUACGGGUGGCAGCAGUAGGGAAUAUUGGUUAAUGUGGAAACCGCGAACCAGCAACGCCGCGUGUGCGAUGAAGGCCUUCGGGUUGUAAAGCACUUUUAGAGAGGAUGAGGAAGGACAGUACUCUCUGAAUAAGCCUCGGCUAACUACGUGCCAGCAGCCGCGGUAA
rnacentral:rRNA from 1 species